UUCCCAGCUGCCACCACGAAGCACUGAACCUUAAAACAGAAAGAGAAAGCCAAAAUGACAUAGCUGGGCUCAAGUCCACAGGUAAAACCUUCUCCAGCUCAGGAAAGGGACUGAAGCAGAAGCCUUUGGUGCCGCCUGGGAGCUAGAAACCCGAGGAGCGCUGGACCCGAAGUCCUCACCCAUCAUCAGGGCUUCCCGAAGAGACUGCCCGGAAGGCAGAGCAGCCGCGGGUAAACAGAUGAGAGCUGAGCACAUUCCAGGGAGGAAGAGAGUAUCACAGGAGGUUGAUGGGUACAGUGGGCUUAGGGGCUCCGGGCGCAGUCAGGGUGAAACGCGCAGCAGCUGUCACAGAGGUUCGCCAGCUCGACCCCUCCCUGCCACCCCGCCACACACCCUCAGCUGCACAGCCACCCAGAGAGAGAAAAGCCUGGCCAAAUUGUACUUUUAAAAAACUUCAUAACUUUGGUGCAUUCACCUGGAAUUAACUUUGGUGUAAGGAGUGAGUGCUCCAGGCUCUGUUCCAAGCUAGGAGAUUCCUCACAACUACUCCAGAGGUCUGUCCAGUGAAGACCUUCAUUUCAUAGAUGAGGAUCCAGGAGAUGGAGCUGACCAAGGGCUGGUGAAAUGCCUGACGGAGGGAUGAUCACAUGGCCUCAUCCAAGUCAAGGGGAUCCAGGCCCUGGACUUUUAGGAAGAGGAGCUCUAUUUCUUCUGUUGACCCAGGUCACGCCUGAGCAGGUGAGCAUGUCCCUGUUGCAGCCGCCUGCCCACCGUGGGGAAGAGGAGGUGAUCAGCUGAGCCCAGCCCAGACCGCAGAACCACAAGCAAAUACAUUGUCGGGUGUGUCUUACAUUUCAGGGUGGUUUGUGUUUCAGCAAUAAAUAUUUGAUAAAAAAAUAAAAUGUAAAAUGUGAUUUAAUUUAAAA